GGAGAAGCCUGGUUUGAGUGAGUUUUUCCUGAAGCAAAAGGGAAGAGCUUAAUUUCAAAAGGAAUAUCUUGAAAGACGCAUCAACUCACCAUUAGAAAACAUGAAACGACAGAUUAUAUCCUAAGAUUGUGUGAACCUCUUACCUGGAAACCCGUACAAUUGCUUUAUCUACCAAUCCUAAACUAUUAUAUCUUGAUCUUUACUCAAUCCUAAUUACACACCCACAUUGAAAGACCUAUCUUAAUUCAGACUUCAAAAUCUUACAAACGUCCAAGUCCCUCCUUUGAAAUGCUACUAAGACUGCAGUAAGAAUACAUAGCAUGCAGUGACUGAGAGGAAGAGAGAUACUAACACUUGAAGUAAUCCAGUCUAUCAAUAGGAGAUGGACUGCUUUGAUUUAAAGCGAUUUACAAAAGGAUUUGGAUACCUCAUCUCUCCUGUUUCGCCAAGGUCUUGACUCAUCGCUGCAGAUGACUAAAUCCCAUUGAGCUAAAUCUCCUGAGGUUUUCCUGGAGUUGGAAGAAUCCAUCUAUUUUGCUAGGGAAGCAAAGAGAUGCUGGACCGUGACACGAAUGUGGCCAUUUCCACUGUCACCAAGCUCCCCUAGGUCUCCAUCAGCUUCAGUGACCUGGGCUCUUUCACUUCUCAGAGAUGCUCAUCUGUGCAUCUCCUGUCAGUUCUCGCUCUUUUUUUUGAGAUGGAAUCUCACUCUGUCGCCCAGGCUGGAAUGAAGUGGCACGAUCUUGGCUCACUGCAAUCUUCACCUCCCAGGUUCAAGUGAUUCUCCUGCCUCAGCCUUUCAAGUAGCUGGGAUUACAGGCGUGCACCACCAUGCCUGGCUACUUUUUGUAAUUUUAGUAGAGAUAAGGUUUCACCACGUUGGCCAGGCUGGUCUCGAACUCCUGAUCUUAAGUGAUCUGCCCGCCUUGGCUUCCCAAAGUGCUGGGAUUACAGGCAUAAGCCACUGUACCCGCCUCCUGUCAGUUCUCUUAAAAUAGCCGAGUGAUCUUUCCUUCCCAUUCAUCUGCUAUCUGUCUGCUGGCUCUUUCUUGCCAAUAAAGACUCAUUUUCUCCUAUCUAGACUUCUCUGGCAUGAGGAAUGAGCCAAUUUAAUGCAUGUCUUAGGUGGGAGUGUGGUGAGUUGCGGAAAGGAGGUUUGGGGAGCUGGAUUCUCUGUGAAAACGUGUAGCAAGGAGAAAGGUCACUGGGGAGAUUAUCAUCUGCAAGGCAUGAGAGGCUGUUCUAUUGUCAUUCACAUGUCAUCAGCCCAGUUAUUAAUACUUUCCUUCCUCUACCCCCUUGUCGUUGUUAAGGAGUUCCUUGGAAAAAACAAGUACUUUCCCUCCCCUGGUUGGUGUCUCUGUGUCUUCAAGAUACUGCCUAUUUUUUUGAGGUUUCAACACAAACAGAUCUAGUCAUGGCAAAAUGGUGACAUUAAUUCUGACUUCCCAGCUUCAACACUCUUCCCCUAAGAGGCAGAGAAUCCUAGCACAGUAAGGGGUCUUAAUGUUCUGGUCAACCCUUCUUGCCCACACUAGUCAUGGAAGUCUUUGUUGAAAUGCCCCCAGUGAAAGGAGGUUCAUUUCCACCCAAGGUAGCUCAUUCAAUUUUGCCACAACUGUGUGUGUGUGUGCGUGUGUGUAAAUGUGUGGGUGCAUGUGUGUAUGUGUGUGUUGGUCCAUGUGUGUGUGGCUUCCUCCACCCAUUAAUUGUAAUUCUAGCAGUUGGGGCCAUGAAGAAAAAUGCAACAACUCUUCUGGGCAGGAGGCUUUUAGAUGACUGAGUACUCUUUUGACAUGUUUCUUUAUUUCUUUACCAUCGAUCUCUUUCCUCCAGGAUUAGCAUAAUCAGUUCUUGUUUUUUUUUUUUUGUUUUUUUUUUUUUAUUUCUCUGAGAGGGACUCUUGGUCUAUCAGCCAGGCUGGAGUGCCGUGGUGUGAUCUGGGCUCACUGCAACCUCUGCCUCCCAGGAUCAAGCGAUUCUCCUGCCUCAGCCUCCCAACCCAAGCUGGCAGUUUUUCCGCUGGAACAAUUUUCUUAAGAAGUCGGUCACGCCUGUAAUCCCAGCACUGUGGGAGGUGGAGGCAGGCGGAUCACAAGGUCAGGAGAUCGAGACCAUCCUAGCUAACACGGUGAAACCCCGUCUCUACUAAAAAUACAAAAAAUUAGCCGGCCGUGUUGGCGGGCGCCUGUAGUCCCAGCUACUCGGGAGGCUGAGGCAGGAGAAUGGAGUGAACCCGGGAGGCGGAGCUUGCAGUGAGCCGAGAUCGCGCCACUGCACUCCAGCCUGGGUGACAGAGCGAGACGACGUCUCAAAAAAAAAAAAAAAAAAAAAAAGAAAAAAGAAAAAAAAAAGGUCAGUGGGUCUUUGGUGAAUUUCACUGGAUGUCACUGUAUUUGAUAAAAGCCACAUCCACAGAUCUUUUCAAGGUAAUCAGUUCACUCUCUUUAGCUUCUGUGGAAAUGGCUGAAGGAUACCCUAGUUCUCCCUAGAGGCUCUUUGACGUGAUUGACGUAUACCUUUACUCUCUUAAAAGGGCCCUUUAUUUAACUGAAUACACUGGCUUUUUGAUCUUUCUGAAGUUGAUCUAUUCAACCGUUGGUAGAUGUUUUGGUUAUUUCCAGUUUUGGGCUACUAUAAAGAAAGCUGCUGUAAAUGCUUGUUUACAAGUCUUUGUGUGGGCACAUACUUUCAUUUCUCUUAGGUAAAUAUUUAGGAGUGCAAUUGCUGGGUAGUAGGGGAAAGACCUUAUGGGAAACUGUUAAAUUUUUUCCAAAAUUGUUUUACCACUUUACAUUCCUACCAGCAAUGUAUGCCGCUUCUGAUUGUUCAAUAUUUUAAAUUUUAGCAAUUUUAGUGGCUCUAUAGUGAUAUCUCUUAAUGAUUUUAAUUUGCAUUUCCCUGAUGAUGACAACACAUUGGGUAUUUGUCAUGUGCUUAUUGACUAUUAACACAAAUGUAUUUGUAAAGUGUCUAUUCAAGUUGUUUUGCCCAUGUUUUUAAUGGGUUGUCUUUUUAUUAUUAAAUUGAAGGGAUUCUUUAUACAUUCUGGAUACAGGUUCUGUUUUAGAUUUAGGUAUUGCAAAUAGUUUUGCCCAGUCUGUGGCUCACCCUUUCAUUUUCUUAACAGUGUUUUUUAAUGAGAAAUUUUUUAUUUUGAUGAAGUGUAGCUAAUCAAUAUUUUCUUUUAUAGUUAGUGAUUUCUGGAUCCUGUCUAAUAAAUAUUUGUCUGCUAGGUCUUGAAGAUAUUCUCCUAUGCUUUUCCUAGAAGUUUUAUAGUAUUAAUUUUUACAUUUAGGCCUAUAAUCCACCAUGAAUUUACUUUUAUAUGCAAUGUGAGAUAUGCUUCCAGGUAUGUUUUAUUCUGUACGUAUAUGUAACUGUUCCAUCUCCAAUUACUUAAUGACUUACACUUUCCCAUUCAGUUGCUUUGGUGUCUCACUUGUAAAUAAAUUGACCAUAUGAAUUUA
rnacentral:lncRNA from 1 species